UUUACAGCCAGUGACACUGGAACAUACAGAGUUCUGGACUCUAAAGGAGAAACCUUGAUCACAGUCACAGUCAGAGAAUAUAGUACAGAAUAUAAGAAAAAGCGGGAUGGUGACAAUGAUACAAAUUAUACUGUACUGUAUGUCGUGCUGUCUGUGGUGUUGGGGGUCCCGGUUCUGGUUCUGAUUACAUUUGUUUUCGUCAAGAAACUGCACAGGAACCCAGAACAUGAUCCCGACCAGAGGGUCCCACUGCAGGACAGGAUCCCAGAACAUGAUCCCCACCAGAGGGUCCCACUGCAGG